rnacentral:rRNA from 1 species
UAGCCAUUAGAAAUAGUGGAUAAUACCGAAUACGCUCAUGACCCUGUGGGGAUAUGAGGAAAACAGGCUACGGCCUGGCUCGAGGAUGGGCCCGCGUCCCAUUAGCUAGUUGGUGAGGUAACGGCCCACCAAGGCGACGAUGGGUAUCCGGCCUGAGAGGGUGUACGGACACAUUGGGACUGAGAUACGGCCCAAACUCCUACGGGAGGGCAGCAGCUAAGAAUAUUCCGCAAUGGACGAAAGUCUGACGGAGCGACGCCGCGUGGAUGAAGAAAACGGCCGGAAGGUUGUAAAAAUCCUUUUGCUGAUGAAGAAUAAGUGUGGUAGGGAAUGACCGCAUGAUGACAUUAGUCGGUGAAUAAGCCCCGGCUAACUACGUGCCAGCAGCAGC